AAGAAACCAACAGGGAUUGCCCUAGUAACGGCGAGUGAAGCGGCAACAGCUCAAAUUUGAAAGCUGGCUCUCGGGCCCGCAUUGUAAUUUGCAGAGGAUGCUUCUGGCGACGCGCCUUCCGAGUUCCCUGGAACGGGACGCCAUAGAGGGUGAGAGCCCCGUCCGGUCGUGCGCCUAGCCUCUGUGAAGCUCCUUCGACGAGUCGAGUAGUUUGGGAAUGCUGCUCAAAAUGGGAGGUAUACGUCUUCUAAAGCUAAAUACCGGCCAGAGACCGAUAGCGCACAAGUAGAGUGAUCGAAAGAUGAAAAGCACUUUGAAAAGAGAGUUAAAAAGUACGUGAAAUUGUUGAAAGGGAAGCGCUCAUGACCAGACUUGGGCUGGCCCGAUCAUCCGGCGUUCUCGCCGGUGCACUCGGGCCGCCCAGGCCAGCAUCAGCUUUCGCCGGGGGAUAAAGGCGGCGGGAAUGUGGCUCCCUCGGGAGUGUUAUAGCCCGCCGUGCAAUACCCUGGUGGGGGCUGAGGUUCGCGCGUAUGCACGGAUGCUGGCGUAAUGGUUAUCAGCGACCCGUCUUGAAACACGGACCAAGGAGUCGUCUUCGUAUGCGAGUGUUCGGGUGUCAAACCCCUACGCGGAAUGAAAGUGAACGCUGGUGAGAGCUUCGGCGCAUCACCGACCGAUCCUGAUGUUCUCGGACGGAUUUGAGUAAGAGCAUACGGGGCCGGACCCGAAAGAAGGUGAACUAUGCCUGUAUAGGGUGAAGCCAGAGGAAACUCUGGUGGAGGCUCGCAGCGGUUCUGACGUGCAAAUCGAUCGUCAAAUAUGGGCAUGGGGGCGA
rnacentral:rRNA from 1 species